rnacentral:tRNA from 1 species
GCACCCGAUAAACAUUCGUAGCGACCAACUGCCCUCCGAAGGCAGGGGUUGCUGGUUCGAUCCCAGCCGGGCGCGCCA